rnacentral:miRNA from 15 species
CGGUGCGUCUCUAGUGCAACUCU